AGGCUUUGAAACCUAAUCAAGGAACUCUCGACAUUUGCCAGAAUGGAUUUCAGAAUUGCUAUGGACCAGCAUCGCCUUUGUCU